UCUUGGGACACCCUGUAUAAAGAUAUUUACUUUAUUCUAUUUCCAUGAAUAUAAAGUAUAUUUUAUAUUUUAGCAACCUUGUGAAGCAAUGCCAUUGCACUUAGAAAGGAUUAAUCUACUGGAAUAUGCGCGCUGUUUCUUUUCAGUUCGUCAGUGGUUUCUCCUGAGGUGUCAGUAUUGCGCUUGACAUCAUACUGUACGGAUUAGUAUUUCUUAAAGAUCCGUUCCUCUCCUACGGUAUUCAAUAUUAAUAUUAAAAAGGCAAACAAAGGAAAUGAGAAUUGCACACGUGACGUGCGAAAGAAAUAUGCACAAUACAAGCUGAAUAUUUCAGUUAAAUUAAUUAAUUUUGAUCAAAAUUCGGAAACGUACAAAAUACGUCAAGAUGACAAUGCUCAAGAGUUUCUUUAGAAGGAUAAGCAAAGAUUUUCAUCAAAAGAAGUUGAUGCCAUUGAAGUUAAUAUUUUUUGUGCAAGCAUCCACACUUUAUGUAUUGUAUCCAUAUUUAACUAUACACAUGAGAGAACUGGGAAUAAAUAUAGAAGAAACUGCGAUAAUGAGUUCCAUCAUUCCUCUUGUAGCCGUAGUGAUGCCGCCGCUUGCCGGUAUGUUAGCUGAUCGAAUAGGAAAUUUCAGAGUGAGUUAACUGAUUUUUGUAAUACUAAACACAUAUCAAUACAUAUACAUAUAUGUAAGCAAGACUUUAUUUUAGCACAGAUUAUUACAGAAUGGCAUAGUAUGAAACUAGUUGAAUCUGUUGAUGUGCCUUUACUGUCAUGCAUUUACUUCCGCAUUAUUUUACAUCUCUUUAUUAACAUACAAAUAUAUACAUAUACAUACAGAGAAUAUGAAAUAUUAUACUAAUAAGAUCUUUGGCAAUUUUGUUUUCUCAUAGAGGAAGCUUUGUUUUUGUAAAAAUUUUUUUUCCAAUUUUCUAUGUCGAUGUAUUCAGAAUGUUCCAAAACAUUGAAAAAUC